AUUGAACGCUGGCGGCAGGCCUAACACAUGCAAGUCGAGCGGUAGCACAAGAGAGCUUGCUCUCUGGGUGACGAGCGGCGGACGGGUGAGUAAUGUCUGGGAAACUGCCUGAUGGCGGGGGAUAACUAGUGGAAACGGUAGCUAAUACCGCAUACCGUCGCAAGACCAAAGUGGGGGACCUUCGGGCCUCACGCCAUCAGAUGUGCCCAGGUGGGAUUAGCUGGUAGGUGGGGUAACGGCUCACCUAGGCGACGAUCCCUAGCUGGUCUGAGAGGAUGACCAGCCACACUGGAACUGAGACACGGUCCAGACUCCUACGGGAGGCAGCAGUGGGGAAUAUUGCACAAUGGGCGCAAGCCUGAUGCAGCCAUGCCGCGUGUGUGAAGAAGGCCUUCGGGUUGUAAAGCACUUUCAGCGAGGAGGAAGGGUAAUGUGUUAAUAAGACAUUGCAUUGACGUUACUCGCAGAAGAAGCACCGGCUAACUCCGUGC
rnacentral:rRNA from 1 species